rnacentral:lncRNA from 1 species
GUCUAUUGAAAGGUAUAAGGCCAGACUUGUUAUUAGGGGGGAUACUCAAGUUGAAGGGGUUGAUUUCACAGAAACUUUUUCUCCUAUGGUCAAAAUGUGCACUGUUAAAUGUUUGAUUGCUGUUGCUGUGAAAAAGAAUUGGAAUCUGUUUCAACUAGAUGUUAGUAAUGCUUUCUUGCAUGGUGAUUUGGAUGAGGAGGUCUAUAUGAAGCUACCUCCAGGUUUGACUGUUUCUGCCCCUGCCUCUGUUUCUGCCUCCUCUGCCUCUACUCCCUUUGUUGCAAAUUAAACAAAUCCCUAUAUGGCUCAGACAGGCUUCCAGACAGUGGUAUGCCAAAUUGUCUUCUGCCCUUUAUUCCAGAGGCUAUAGACAUUCUUUGAAUGAUUACUCUCUAUUCAUCAAAGGUACACCAGGGUCUCUUGUGAUUGUUGCUGUUUAUGUGGAUGAUGUUAUUCUUACUGGGGAUGACUGUGAUGAAAUUGUUGACCUGAAAUUGUUUCUGGAUGAUCAGUUCAAAAUUAAGGACCUAGAGUCCUUGUUAUUCUUACCGGGGAUGAGUGUGAUGAAAUUGUUGACCUGAAACUGUUUCUUGAUGAUCAGUUCAAAAUUAAGGACCUAGGGUCCUUACAUUAUUUUCUAGGCAUUGAGAUGUCAGUUGUUCCUGGUGGGAUGAUCCUUAAUCAGCAUAAAUAUGUUUCUGAUUUGCUGCAAUAGUUUGACUAUGUCAAUGUCUCUUCUGUUGUUUGUCCUUUGGACAUUAAUGCAAAAUUGCAUGUUGAUUUUGGUGACCUUUUGCAUUCCCCUGAUCUGUAUAGGAGUCUUGUUGGUAAGCUCUUAUUUCUGACACAUACUAGGGCAAAAUUACAUGCUGAUUUUGGUGACCUUUUGCAUUCCCCUUAUCAGUAUAGGAGUCUUGUUGGUAAGCUCUUAUUUCUGACACAUACUAAGCCUGACAUCUGUUUUGCUGUGCAACAUCUGAGUCAGUUCCUCAAAUGCCCCAGACUCCCCCAUAUGACUGCUGCCCUUCAUGUAUUGAGAUAUCUUAAAGGCACUCCUUCUCUGGGCCUCUUUUAUUCUGAUUGCAAUGAUUUCACUGUUUUUGGUUAUUCUGAUAGUGACUGGGCUGCCUGCCCUGAUACUAGGAGGUCUGUUACUGGGUUCUGUAUUGUUCUGGGUGGUUCCUUGAUUAGUUGGAAAUCUAAGAAGCAACCAGUGGUUUCUUUAUCUUCUGCUGAGGCUGUAUACAGGGCCCUAAGUAAGGUUGUUGCUGAAUUGUCUUGGUUGUCUCGUUUAUUUCUUGAUCUUGGUGUUUCUGUCUCUCUUCCUUUUUCUGUGUAUUGUGACAGCCAGGCAGCCAUUCACAUUGCUAAGAAUCCUGUUUCAUGAACGGACUAAACACAUUGAAGUGGAUUUUCAUUUUGUGCGCGAUCAGCUCCAGGAUGGCCUUAUUCAACUGUUUCAUGUCCCUACUACUCGCCAGCUCGCUGACCUUCUGACCAAGCCUUUGCCUGGCACUAUUCUUCAUCCCUUGUUGCUCAAGUUGCAGGUGGUAUCCCCCUUCAACUUGAGGAGGGGUGUUGAGAUAAGAGAAAAUACAUGAUAUAGCCUUGUGUAGCCUUGUAUAUUCUUUGUAUACACACUGUAUGUUUACUGUAUACUCAUGGGAUGUUUUAUGCUGGGAUGUGAUUAUUGGACCGUGUAUCUGAGCCCAACCAACAGUUAUUUAAUUUUGGGCCGGUUCACCCGAUCUGACCCAAGUGUAAAGUGUAUAUAGGUUAGGUAUGUGAGAUAUUUGUAGCGGACUUCAUUUUGUUUCAUUAUUCUGAUUAAUAAAC